GACGAACGCUGGCGGCGUGCUUAACACAUGCAAGUCGAACGGAAAGGCCCUGCUUUUGUGGGGUGCUCGAGUGGCGAACGGGUGAGUAACACGUGAGUAACCUGCCCUUGACUUUGGGAUAACUUCAGGAAACUGGGGCUAAUACCGGAUAGGAGCUCCUGCUGCAUGGUGGGGGUUGGAAAGUUUCGGCGGUUGGGGAUGGACUCGCGGCUUAUCAGCUUGUUGGUGGGGUAGUGGCUUACCAAGGCUUUGACGGGUAGCCGGCCUGAGAGGGUGACCGGCGACAUUGGGACUGAGAUACGGCCCAGACUCCUACGGGAGGCAGCAGUGGGGAAUAUUGCACAAUGGGCGGAAGCCUGAUGCAGCAAAGCCGCGUGCGGGAUGACGGCCUUCGGGUUGUAAACCGCUUUCGCCUGUGACGAAGCGUGAGUGACGGUAAUGGGUAAAGAAGCACCGGCUAACUACGUG
rnacentral:rRNA from 1 species